GGGGGCAACCAGUGAGGAGCAAAGUCAUAGAUGAGCCAGUUGACAUCGGAGUUCUGUAGAAACUCAGUGAGAGGGAGUUGGAGCUGGUCGUAGGCUCGUUUCAGAUUCGGGAAUAGGUGGAAUGGCAACUCGGAGGUGGACUCGGCGGAGUCGGGCAAGCCAUGGACGGCAGGCAGAGGCAGUGGCAGUCGUACCAUGGUUACAAGUGAGGAUAAAUUUGGAAUUUGAGAGAGGCGACGAAGGUUUUUAGGGGUGGAGAGGAAGGAAAUGCGGUGACCCCUUUGAACUAAGUGGCUGGAGAGAUGAAGAAAAGGUAAGAAGUGGCCAAAGGCCAGCCAUGGGAACACAGCUAUGUGAAGCUUCUGAUGCUCUUUCUUCAUCUCAUCCAUGGCAAUGGAGUUGUGAGUUGUGAGAGAAAUGAUCAAGAUUCAAAACUUUGGGUAGAGCAGUGAUGUGAAGUUGCAGAAAGAGUUGUCGACUUGUGCUCAUCAUCAAAGGAGCAGCGCACCAUGGAUGGAUGUCCCGCUGUACUUUUAUUGGACCCUUAUCGUUAAAUCCUAUCACUCAUCCCCGCAAUGGUAAGCCAAGGGGAAAAAGUGUGUUUUGGUGAGAGGGUUUUGAAAAAAGAAAGAAAAAGGAAGAUAAAAUCCUUUAAAAAAUAAUUAAAAUUUUCAUUUCAUCAUCUCUCCUGUUAAACAAAUAUUCGAUUUUUAUAUUAAAAUAUAAAAAAUUUGAUUUAAUUAAAAUUUUAUUUUCAAAUUAUUUAAUCUUUACAUCAGAUAAUUAAAAUAAGUUAAAUGACUUUUAAAUAACAUAUGAAAAUAAUUUAUUAAUUAAAUUUUUUUUUUCUUCCAAUUUUUUCUUCUUAGAGACACAACUUUUCCCAUGAGAAAAGGUAGGAUCUUAAUUAUUGAGCGUGGCGGUGAGAUUUUGAAAUGAAAAUUGAUGGUCCUUGGAAACUAUUACCCGACUUGAAAUAGUUUUCUAUAUGCUAAAAUGAUUAAAUGAAAUAAUUUUUUUUGAGAUUUUAAAAAAAAAUAUAUAUUGUUUUUGGGAAUAAAAUUGAGAUAUCUUCAAUUAUAUUUUAAAAGUGUUUCAAAAAAUAAUUUACAAGAAUUAAUUUUUUUUUACAUUAUACAUUAUGUGCACAAAAUUCAUGAAAAAUAAUUAAAUUUUUUUUUUUCAAUGUUUUCAGAAUUGGAUUAAUCAUUAAAUUGAAAAGUUAUGGAUUUAUGGUUCAAUAGUUUGAUUGAUAGUUAAAUCGCGAUUGAACUGGUGAUGUAAUAAAUAUAUAAUUUAUAUAUUAUAUAAAAUUAAAAUUAUUUAUAAAAUUUAAUAUUAAAAAAUAAUAAUAAUUCAUUUUUAUAUAAUUCAUUUUAUCAAAUUAAAUUGGUAAUAAUAAAUAUAAAUAUAUUAAUAUUUUAAAUUUUAUUAAUUAAAAUAAUACACAUAUAAUAUUUUAAAGAAAAAUUAUAUGUUUAAAAUUGUAUAUUUUUUAUUUUAUAAUAUUUAAAAACAUUAUAUUAUUCUCAUAAAUAUUAUUAUAUAAUAAGUAUAAUUAUUUAAGGGUUUUAAAUAAUAAAAAUUUGAAAGAAGCAUUACUUUCCAAAUCCCAAUAGUCUAACAAUGCUUUUGAUAAGUUGGAGGUCCGAGGGUGAGUCCUCAGACAAACAGAAAAAAAAAAAAAAAGCUCAUGGAUCAUAAGCAAUAGGGCCUAUGAGGCUUGGCUUGGAUGGAAUAAUUAGAUAAUUCAAAAAUUAAGUUUAUUCUAUUAAUGUUUCCAUAAAUUACAAUAUUAUUAGAGAAAUUUUCAUGUGUGACAAAAUAAUAUUGUUAGAAUCACUUUAAAAAAUUCAAAACUAUAUUAUGAAAAAAAAAAAAAAAAAACAAUUAUGCCACUGUAAACCUCAUUUUUUUGUGUAGUUUUUUUAUUAUUUUUGUAGCACUUUGCUGUCAGCGUGUUUUAGAGUGGGGGACGACUGUGAGUUACAUGCAUGGGACAUGUGCCAAGACACCACCACCUUGCCAUGGUGGUAGUUGAGAUGGGGACUCCUUUUGAACAGAUGACAGAGGAGUGGGUGGUGAGCAGUAAAAUUGGUGAAGACUGGAGGUGAAAGAAAAACAGAGCAUGGGUGGGCUGUUUUGAGGGGGUACCAGCUAUGAAGAAGGGAGGGAGAAAAACGAGCAGCGGAGGGGGAUUUUUCUGGGAGAAAAAUCUGGAGAGUGGGUGCUGGGUUUUUGUGGCAGCUGAGGGAUUUUAGAAAGAAAAAGAAGAAGAGAGGUGAGCUGAAAUUUGGGGGGGCGGUGGGGGAACGCGUCUGAAAAUAGAGCAAGAGGAGAGGUGGAGUGAAAACGGGGAGAACGGUUUUUUUGAAAGAAAACAGAGCAAGAGGAAGGUUGUCCACGGGUGAGCGGUUUUUGAGGGAGGCGCCUGAAAACAGAGCAAGGGGAGAGCUGGAAGGAGAAACGGAGGACGUUUUUUUUAAGGAAAAAACAGGCAGCAACUGGAGAGAGAGAUCUAGGAGAAAAACGGAGCACUUGAAGCCAAGUGUGCUUGGCUCAAGAGGAGACACCCAUGUUCAUUGUGAACCGUGUAUUUUCUUAUUUUUGGAUGCCAUUUUACCUGAUGUCUCUGUUAACUUUUGGGUCGUUCUUGCUGGUCCUUCCAUGUUCGUUUCCUUGGCUUACCUUGAAAACUGGUGAGGUUUUUUUUAUCAUGUUCAUUGCGGGGCAUUCUGAAGAUCAACGCAUUUGCUCUACUGGGUGUCAUAUCUGCAUUGUAUUUGUUUUUGGCUUUUGCCUAUUCUGUUCUUCUUUGCAACAUACAUAUAUAUAUAUAUAUAAAAUGAAAGAUAUGGUAGUGUGCUCGAUGGGAGUGAACAGAGUAGGGCAGUCCCACAUAGAUUUUGUUGGGGAACGGAUUUAAAAGUAUGGAAAUCACACCCCUUUUUUUUAGGUUUCUAGGAUUUUUGAGUUUCGGGCUAGGUGGGUUUCUUCUUUUGGUUGGUUUUGCCACUCCAAAUGGCUCUCGUUCCACACUUUUUGAUUCACGUUCAGCAUUUCUCUACUUAGGCCUAUGUUUGGUGGCUGGGAAUUUAUAAGAAACUGAUUUUAGGAUCUGGGUAUUUGGUUAUAUGAGAUGAUCUUAAGAACUGUUUGAGGUUUCUACAAACUGCCUUGCAUUUUCAUAUUAUAAACCCAACACCUCUGGUUUGUUGGAAAUGAGUUUGAAAAAAUAAUAAUUGAGCAACUUGGGGCUUAAUUAAAAGUGUGACCCACAUUCCGAAAAUGUCGGGACCAUGCACCAACGCGUUCUCCUCCGUAAGAGUAUAACGUGGUAUAUUUAUUUGUUCAAAUCCAUUAAGUAUUGAAUGAGAAAAUUGACUCCAAAGUCACCCACUUGAAAUUAUAUAUUUAAGGAAACUUGGUAUAAACUUACCAUAAACACUUUAUCCCACGUAGGAAGGAAGUGUGAGGGGAAUGUGAAGAGUUUAUAUAUUGAAUUUUUGCACUAUAGGAACGGCCCAAGGGGCACCCUAAGUUUGUAAAGGGGAGGACCUACAUGGGUGUAGGCUUGUGUGGGUUUAACCCACACGGGCGCAGCCGCCCGGGCCCAUGGGUCUUGGGCUUGGGCUUGCUAUAUAUAUAUAUAAUUUUUGGGCAAAAAUCAUUUAAGUUUCUGGGUCGGGGUUAUCCGUUGGCUUUUCAUAAUUAAGAUUCAUUGUUAGAGUGUGCCUAUUCCGAACAGGUUCAUGACUAUUCCAAACAGGUACGUGUCUAUUCCGAAUAGGUUUAUACCUAUUCUAAACAGACACUAGGAAGUCUAUAAAUAGACUUUCUACCUCGGCAUUAAUAAAAUAAAAAAAAAAUUCAAUCAAUUCCUGCAUAUUUCUCUCUCUCCUCUUUGCAUCCUUUGUCAGUUCGAGUACAAAAUACAAGUUGUGUUCGUGGUGUUCUACAGAUUGAAGUGCUGCUUUUGUAGAACUGAAAAUCCGUUCUAUCUUGGGAGACAUUUAUUCACUACUUGAGCACCAGAGAGGGAAUAAAAUUGUCUUAAAGAAACAGUGUUGUCAUUGGGCUCGAAUUCAUAGAAUUAAAGUAAGUUCUGUAAUUUCAUUUAUUUUAUUUACAUACUUAUUUAAUGUUUACUUAAAGUAUAAACUGUAAAAAGAUUUUAUUGUUAACAUGGUUUGCUUUUUGCAUCUACUCCCCUUCAUUUUUAUGUAAUUCACCAUUCUCUUCCUCUACAAAGAAUCAAACAUGGCAUUCACAAUUUGAAAAGCUUGACCCAUCAAAAACAAUACAUCGAGGCCCUCAAACGCACCACACAAGAGCCACGUGUCAUCCUUUUUCUUUUUUCUUUUUCCUUCUUUUGAUAUUAAAAUUUUAUUUAUUUUUUAUUUUUUAUUUCUCCAUUCUCCAAUAAUUCAUCAAAAUUCCAAUUUUUAAAUUUAAUUUUCAAGAUUUUAAUUUUAAUUUAAUUUUCAAAACUCCAAUUUUUAAGUUUAAUUUUCAAAACUUCAAUUUUUAAAUCUAAUUUUCAAAAAUCUAAUUUUCCAAACUUUAAUUUUCAAAUUUAAAUUUUAAAAUUUCAAAUUUUAAAUAAUUUUCCAAAACUUCAAUUUUCAAAAUUCUCAAAUUCAUUUAUUUAAUAAUAAUAAUAAUAAUUAUUAUUAUUAUAUUUAUUUAUUUAUUUUUUAAAUUCCACUAUCAAAUAAUUCUUCAAAAUUCCAUUUUCUUAAAUUUAGUUUUCAAACUUCCAUUUUAAAAAUUUUUUGAAAUUUCGAUUAUUAAAUUUAAUUUUUUAAACUUCCAUUUUUAAUUAAUUAUUCAAAUUUUAAUUUUCACAUUUAUUUAUUUAAUUAUUGCUAUUAUUAUUAUUUUAUUUUAUUUUUUUAUUUUUAAAUUACAUUCUCAAAUAAUUCUUCAAAUUUUCAUUUUUUUUAAAUUUAAUCUUCAAGAUUUCCAUUUUCAAAUAAUUCUUUUUUAAAAUUUCAAAUAAUUUCAGAACUUUAAUUUUCUUUCAAAUAAUCUUAAUUUCACUCCAAUUUUCAAAUAUUUUUUUAAUUAACCACUUUUUAUCCUUACUAAAAAUUCUAUUUUUAAAUAAACUUGCUAUAUUUCCUUUCAGGGAAGCACCAUAAAUUUUCUUCGAUUUUAAAAUAAUUUUCCGUUUUUCUUGAUUUCUAACAAGCAUGAAGACAAUUUUCAUAAUUCCAAAAUAAUGGAAUUUGUGGGAUUAAUUUAUACAAAAUCAAUUGGGCUUUGGUGGGGCCCAACAUUCAUAACAUUUGUUUUUAAAAUAAUUUAAGUGAAUUGUAUAGUUAAUAUUGUUUGAUUUUGAUUGGUUUUAUGUGAAAUAUUUUACACUUAUCAUUGUACACCAACCUUGUUUCAUGAUAACACUUUAUUAUAUGUUGUCAAGCUACGAUCUUAUUCCUACUUUGCUUAUUCCUAUGCAUGAUUCGUUUUAUUAUUUGAUCUAUGAUCAUUUUGAUAUUUGUUGAUUUCUUUAUCAAUUAUCACACUUACUUCACCUUAUUUAGUAGAAACCAAUUUUUAAGAGCUUAGAGGAUCCUACGAUUUUUAUCGUACAUUUCCAAUAAGUAAUCUGAUCUUACCUUCAAAUUCUGAUAUUAUCUUCAAUUAGACAAUUUUUCUUAAAACUUCACUAAGAAACACAAUAUCAAAUUUGCUUAUUAUACGUUCUCCUUAUAUACCUCAAAAACCUAAGGGUUCCUUUGUUAGGUUUGUCCAUGAAAGGUGAGUCAAAGCCUAAGAUCAAGUCGAAAGGCAUAGUUGAUGGGUAAUAAGUGAAUAUUCUUGUAUUAUCCCUUGUUAGUCUCGAAAAAUCGAAAAGCAACCCCAUUUUUCACCUUAAAUUAAUCAAAAUAAGUAAAAUUUCUUGCUUUUUGUAAAUGAGUAGAUUUAAUAACUAGGGGUCUAUGGCUAACUGAUAUAAAAUAAUUUAAAUAAAAAAUAUACAAAAUCUAAUCAUUAAUAACCCUGAAUUAAAAUUAAGAAAAUUAUCUUCAAAAGAAUAUGUGCUAAUAGCAUAUUAUAAAAUAAUGAGUAAACUAAAAAUAAAAGAAAGUAAAAAAAAAAGAAGAUGGAGAGAAUUUGAGACGAUGUUUUUUUAGAGAAGGAUGUUAAUACGUGGAUGGAACAAUGCUUUUAUAAGCUUACGUAAAGAAAAAGUAGAUAUCUCCAUUAACUUACUGUUAAUAGAUCAAGUAGAUUUAGUUACUACUGAGUCAUUUUCAAGCACCCGAGUGAACUCAUCUAAAUAUUUGGUUUGCAACUUCACAUUUCCAAAGAUUUCCCUCAUUGCCCAUGCAUUUCUCCUAAGUUGCUCUCCUUCUUCUUCCACCAUAACUCGUUUUAUUGACUUACUCACUGAGUCGCCUGUAAAUGAUCCAUCUCGCUUGUCCCUCGGUACUUCCAACCCGACUCGCUUGCCUUCAAGGAGUCUUGCCACCAACCCCAGAUCUGAAGAAGGCCCGGGGAAAAGAAUCAGCACCCGACCCAACCCGAGAGCCUCGAUCACGGAGCUCCAUCCACAGUGGGUCAAGAAUCCACGAACUGAUGGGUGAGCCAAGAUUUGCUUUUGUGGAGCCCAAUUGGCCCAAACUAAACCACGACCUGAAACCCGACCCUCAAACCCGGUUAUAAUCGGAUCAUCUUUGGUUUUAACCACCCAAAUGAAGGGUAAGCCGGAUUUCUCUAUUCCAGAUGCCAACUCGUUCAUUUCGUCCUGACUCAGAGUCAACUCACUACCGAGUGCAACGUAAAGGACGGAGUUUUCGGUUUUCUCGUCAAGCCAUUGUCUUAACGAGCCCCAGCUCUCGUCUCCCUCGCUGUCGUUCACCUCCGUCGGAAGCAACCCUAUCGGAACGACAGGCUUUUGGUAGAGAUUUUCGAGGAGACUCAGUGAAUCACCCUCUAACUCGGCGCAGCUCCUGGUAGCUACAAAUCGGCAGCCUUCAAUCACCUUUGCCAAUCGGAAGAAAUCGGAAGCUUCCGAGUCCAUGCAGUCCUGGAUGCGGGUCACCUCGUGGAUCCUGAAAGCGACGGUGGACGGAAACGGGAUCCACUCAGGAACCACGGUUAAGUUCUCCACCUGCUGUUGACAGCGGCGGAGAAUCUCCUCCGGCGAGCCCAUGAAAGCGAGUGUGCUGGCAUUGAAAAUGCUGAAGAAGACUGAGUUGAUACCGAGUCGAGAGGCGAUUGGGGGCAACCAGUGAGGAGCAAAGUCAUAGAUGAGCCAGUUGACAUCGGAGUUGUGUAGAAACUGAGUGAGAGGGAGUUGGAGCUGGUCGUAGGCUCGUUUCAGAUAGGGGACUAGGUGGAAGGGCAACUCGGAGGUGGACUCGGCGGAGUCGGGCAAGCCAUGGACGGGAGACAGAGGCAGUGGCACCAUGGUUACAAGCGAGGAUAAAUUUGGAGCAAUUUGAGAGAGGCGACGAAGGUUUUUAGGGGUGGAGAGGAAGGAAAUGCGGUGACCCAUUUGAACUAAGUGGUUGGAGAGAUGAAGAAAAGGCAAGAAGUGGCCAAAUGCCAGCCAUGGGAACACAGCUAUGUGAAGCUUCUGAUGCUCCUUCUUCAUCUCAUCCAUGGCAAUGGGGUUGUGAGUUGUGAGAGAAAUCAAGAUUCAAGACUUCUGGGUAGCGCAGUGAUGUGAGGCUGAAAAGGAGUUGUUAUCGCCAUCCAAGGAGCACUAUACCGAACGAGGGAUGUCCCACCACAGCUUUGUUCUUUGGUGCCCAUUGUUAUUUUGGGUACCCACCCAGACUCCAGUAAUAAAGUGACACGUGUAAAGUGUAUUCAAGUAACUUAUCAAACCGACAAGAUGAAUUAUUGAUCGGAAAUAAUCACAUGCAUAUCAAUCAUAUCUACAUAUUAUAACUUUUUUAUAAUUUAUUAUUAAAUAUCAAAUAUAAUUUCUUAUUUAAUGAACAAUAAAACAUUUAUUUAAAGAAAAAAAAAAAGCUACCGAGUUACCCUUAUACUCUCACUAUUCAAACAUAUAAAAAGGGUACUAAUUUAAUAUGAAAAUUAGGUCAACUAAUGCAUUGAAAAAAAUGGGGAUGUGUUUUGAUAAAACACAUUUGAAUGUCAAGUUCAAAACUUUUUGAGGAAGAAAAGAAAAAAAUUUGUAUUCCUUGAUGAAGAUCAAGGAUUUCAAGUGAUUAUAAGUGUCAAAAGUAAUAUUUGAUUGUUUUUUUUAUUUAAAUAUGAAUUAUGUAGGUAGAAAUGUUAUGUUAAAUAAUAAAUAUGUAAUAAUUUUAUAAUUUUUUAUGAGCUUAUUAUUAAUCAAAUGAGGAUGAUUUAAUAUUAUGUUAUCAAAUUACUAUUAAUAUUUUUAUAUUAUUUUUUUUGUGUGUUGAUAGAUUAGAUUUGAAGAUGAAGUUUUAUGUCUUGCAAAGGGAAAACAAGAAUUUUUGUUUCUUAAGAAGAUAUCAUAUGAAGGAUUUCAAGUGAUUACAACUGUUAAAUGUAACAUUUGAUAUGUUUUUUUUGUUUAUUUAAAUAUAAAUUUUGAAAGUAACAAUGUCAUGUUAAAUAGCAUUUAAAUAUGCAAUGAUUCGAUUUAGAUUUUAAAUUUUUUAUGAGUUAUUAUUAAUCAAAUUGAGACAAUUUAGUCAUUUGUCAUGAAAUUGUCAUCAAUAUUUUAUAUCAUUUUUUUGUGUAUUCAUAUAUUAAAUUUGAAGAUGAAGUUUUAUAUAUCUUGAAGAAGGAAAAUAAGAAUUUUUGUUUCUCAAGAAGAUAUUAUAUUAAGGAUUCCAAGUUAUUACAAGUAUUAAAUGUAAAAUUUGAUUCUUUUUUUUUUAAUUUAAAUAUAAAUUUUGUAGGUAGAAAUGUCGUGUUAAAAAGCAAUUGUUUUAAAUAUGUGAGAGGGGAUAUGAACAAUGUGAGAGAUAGUAUAAAUAGUAUGAGAGAAGGUAUAAGCAAUGUGAGAAGGUGUACAAAAAAUGUGAAAAGGGUAUAAACAAUGUAAGACAAUGUACAAACAAUGUGAUAAGGAGUACGAAUAAUGUNNNNNNNNNNNNNNNNNNNNNNNNNNNNNNNNNNNNNNNNNNNNNNNNNNNNNNNNNNNNNNNNNNNNNNNNNNNNNNNNNNNNNNNNNNNNNNNNNNNNGAAUAAUGUGAGAGGGGGUAUAACAAUAUGAGAUGAGAUACGGACAGUGUCAGAGAAUGUACGAACAUUGUAAAAGAUGAUAUAAACAAUGUGAGAUGAAAUACGAACAGUAUGAGAGAAGGUAUGAACAUUGUAAAAGAUGAUAUAAACAAUGUGAGAUGAGAUACGAACAGUGUGAAAAAAGGUACGAGCAUUGUAAAAGAUUAUAACAAAUAAUAUGAGAGAUGGUACGAACAAUGUGAGAAAUGAUACAAACAAUGUAAGAGAGUACAAAUAAUGUGAGAUGAGGUACGAAUAAUGUGAUAAAUGAUACAAACAAUGUAAGAGAGUACAAAUAGUAUGAACAAUGUGAGAGAGGUACAAACAAUGUGAGAGAUGAUAUGAAUAUUGUAAAAGAUUGUAUGAACAUUGUGAGAGAUUGUACAAACAUUAUAAGAAAUAGUACGAACAUUGUGAGAUGGUGUACAAAUAUUGUGAGAUAGAGUAUGAAUAAUGUGAGAGAUAGUACAAACAUAAUGAGAGAUGGUACAAAGAUUGUAAUAGAGACUAUGAACAAUGUGAAAAAGGGUUGAACAUUAUGAGAUGGGGUACAAAGAAUGUGAGAGAUGAUAUGAAUAUUGUAAGAGAUUGUAUGAACAUUGUGAGAGAUUGUACAAACAUUAUAAGAAAUAAUACGAACAUUGUGAGAUAGAGUAUGAACAAUGUGAGAGAUAGUACAAACAUAAUGAGAGAUGGUACAAAGAUUGUAAUAGAGACUAUGAACAAUGUGAAAAAAGGUUGAACAUUGUGAGAGAGUGUACAAACAAUGUAAGAGGGGUAUGAACAAUUUUAUUAAACAAAUUAAAAUAAUUUAAUUAUUUGUUAUCAAAUUCAAUAUUUUUAUAUCAUUUUUUUUUUUGUAUUUAGGGAUUAUAAAAUAUUAUUAUUAUCCUUAUUAUAUAUAUAUAUAUAUAAAUGAAAGAAUUUGAGAAAUGAUAUGAAACAUGUGAAACAAGGUAUGAAAUGAUAUAAAAAUAUUUAUUUAAAAAAAAACCAAAUUGAUAACAAGUAUGACUAAAUAAUGUAAUUUUCUAACUACUUUUUCUUUUAUAUUUCAGUUCCUUCAUGGAUAUGAUAGACAAAGGCAAAGGAAAUGAAUUCAUCAUCGAUUUGAAGGAUGAAGACUUUGACUACCAAUAUGAUAGUAAUGUGAAAACUGAGUUUGAUGAAGAGUCCAUGUUAGGAAUCUUCACAUUUUUUUGUACUCUUCCCAAAAUUUCAAGUAUUUUUAUGUUUAAAUUUUUUUGUGCAUAAUUUACAUCAAUCAUAAGUGUAAUUAGUAUUUUUAAAUAAUAUCAUAACUAUUGAAAGUGGGAAAAAAUUCUUAAAAAUCAAAGAAGUCAAAAUUUUGGAGGAUACGAAAAAUGUAAGAAAUCCUUAUAUUCUUUGUACUUUCUCUUUAUUUCAUGUUUUUUUUUAAAUUUUGAUAUUUUUCUCCUAAUAUUCCUUCAUUUGUGACUCAAUUAAGCUAUUUUAUUGUUAUUUUUAAUGAAAAAUUAAAUCUUAAAAAUUUUUCAAAUAUAAAAUUUGGAGGAUAGGAAAAAAAUGUGAGAAUGUUACAAAUCAUACCCUUUUCAAUUUAAUUUUUUUAGCCAAAUAAUCUAUCAUUCUUGACUCAGUAAAGUUGUUUUAUUGUUAUUUAGAGUAAAAAAAUAAAUCCUAAAAAUGAUCAACAUGUAACAUUUUUAUGAUUUUUAUUAUAAAGUGUUACUAGGAAUACCAUCUUUUUAUGAUUCAAUUUUACAUUCGUGAAAUAAGAGUAAUAGUAUUGUUUGAUGAGUCAUGCUAAAAACGACUAAAUUAAGUUUAUAUGGUUUUUAUAAUUAUAUUCAAAUAUGUUAUAGCUAAUGUUAUAUAAAAUAUAAUGGAAUUUAAAUGUGUUGUAGUUUUAAUUUCAUAUAAUUAAUCAAAUUUUUUAUAAUUGAUCAUGGUCCAAUUACCUAAUACCUUUGUUUAACCUAUGCUCAAAAUGUUGAAUAUCAAUACAAAUAUUAAUUCCAUAUUAAAACAUCACCAUAUUCAUUUUUAUGUUCGUAAAAAUCAAUAUUCAUGAGGAGCUUACAAACUAAGUGAAUUCAAAUGUUUUACAAAUUUUAUACCAAUUUCAUUUUUAUUUUUAUCCAAUUCUAUUUUUUUUUUAUCUCAUUUAAUUAUUUCAUAUAAACCCAAAAUUGUUUGUUUAAAUACAAUUAUCCAUUAUCCAUUCAUCUUGAAACCCAUUUAUCUCAUCUCAUCAUUUCAUCUUGAAAAAUGAAUGGAACGACUGUUUCCUGCCAAAUAAUGGAUCCAAUGGCUACUAUGUGAUGAGGUGUGAUUGGAUGUUUUUGAUAUAUUCCAACGGCUACAAUGAUGAAUGUGAAGAGAAAAAAUGGAAGAAAAUGGACAAAAUGAAAUCAUGAGGGAGAGAAAGAAAGAGGAAGAAGAGACAAAUGAAGAAGAGGGAAUGGAGGAACCAGUUACUCCUUUAAUAGGUUAUCUUGUUUGUUUUUUUUUUUUUUUUAAAUUUAAAAUGGAUGGCCAAGAUCUAAUGACUAGAGAAUUUUUUUGGUACUAUAGAAUUUUCCAUCCCAUAAAUCCUAUUACUUUUCCCCCACAAUGGGUAAGCCAAGGGGAAGAAGUGUGUUUUGGUGGGAGAGUUUUGAAAAUGAAGGGAAGAAUCCUUAAAAAAAAAAAAAAUAGAAAAAUAAUUUUCUCUUUGAUUUUUACAUAAAAAUAUAUAUAAAAAAUCAAAUAUAAUAAAAAUUAAUUAAAAAUUUAUAAAUUUUUAAAUUAUUUAAUCUUUAUAGAAAAAGUAAAACGAGUUUGAAAUAUCGUAUAAAAAUAAUUUAUUAACUUUAAAUCAAUUUAUUUAUUUUUCCACUUUUUAUUUCCUUUCACUUUCUUUUUAUUUUAUUUCUCUUAUAUAUUCCCUUAAAUUUUUAUGAACCAAAUAUAACUUAAAAGCUUAAUAUAUCCCAAUAAAAAAAAUAUUAUUUGCAUUAAUAUUUAUAAUCCACCUUUAAUUUAAAAAUAUGUAAAACAAUAAUAGAUAUUUUGUGUUGGACGUCAUUUGUCUUAUCCGGGCUGAGCCGUGGAGUAUAUUUGGCUCUGUGGGAUGCUCGAGUCCGGAGACUACACGUUUCCCCACAAAGUGGCCUCCCCAGGAUUUGAACUCAAGACCUUAAGGUCUUUUGGUUUGCCCUNNNNNNNNNNNNNNNNNNNNNNNNNNNNNNNNNNNNNNNNNNNNNNNNNNNNNNNNNNNNNNAUUUUGGAAUCACAUAUUUUGGCAUAUUAAAACACAACUUUUCCCAUGGAAAAAGGCAUGAUGGUCCAAUUACCUAAUACCUUUAUUUAACCUAUGCUCAAAAUGUUGAAUAUCAAUACAAAUAUUAAUUCCAUAUUAAAACAUCACCAUAUUCAUUUUUAUGUUCGUAAAAAUCAAUAUUCAUGAGGGAGCUUACAAACUAAGUGAAUUCAAAUGUUUUACAAAUUUUAUACCAAUUUCAUUUUUAUUUUUAUCCAAUUCUAUUUAUUUUUAUCUCAUGAAGGGCAACUCGGAGGUGGACUCGACGGAGUCGGGCAAGCCAUGGACGGGAGGCAGAGGCAGUGGCACCAUGGUUACAAGUGAUGAUAAAUUUGGAGCAAUUUGAGAGAGGCGACAAAGGUUUUUAGGGGUGGAGAGAAGGGAAAUGCGGUGACCCAUUUGAACUAAGUGGUUGGAGAGAUGAAAAAAAGGCAAGAAGUGGCCAAAUGCCAGCCAUGGAAACACAGCUAUGUGAAGCUUCUGAUGCUCCUUCUUCAUCUCAUCCAUGGCAAUAGGGUUGUGAGUUGUGAGAGAAAUCAAGAUUCAAGACUUCUAGGUAGAGCAGUGAUGUAAAGCUGAAAAGGAGUUGUCAUCGUCAUUAAUGCGGUGCAUAGAUACCGAGCAAGGGAUACCCAGACAUUUUCCUAUAGAGUUCUGUUACUUUGCCACACAAUGGGUAAGAAAAGUAUGUUUUGGUGGAAGAGAGAAAAGAAAAAAUUAUUUUAAACAGAUUUUUCCUUCACAAAUAAUUUUAAAAAAUUAUUCUCAUAAACCAUUUUUAAAAAUUAUUUUCAAAAACACUUUUCAAACAAAUCUUUAUAUUUGAUUUCAGGAUCUCUCGUAUUAGUUUACUAUAUUCAUAUUCCUCUCAAAGAUAUUAUCAGCAUUAAUAUCUAUCAACCACCUUUAAUUCAACCAUACUUAAACCAAUAAAAGACAUUUAAAACAUACUUUUCCGGGUAGGGUCUCAAUUAUUGAGCACGACAAAGAAAUUUUGAAAUGAUAAACAAUGUUCAACAAAGUCGUGGUGGAAAACUAUUAUCUAACAUAAAACAAUUUCUAUAUACUAAACUAAUUUAAAAAUAUGGGUUUUGAUUUGCUAAUUUGAAAAAAAAAAAAAAAAACUUAAAUUAGUUUUGUCUUCAUUCAUUUAAAAAUAUUUUAAAAUAUAUGCACUUUUUCAUAACUCAAAUAAUUAUUUUCUAAAAUACCCUUUUACUUUAAUAAAAGUGUUUUAUAAAUAAAUAUAUUAUAAAUUUUUUAUUACAUAUGAUACGAUAUAAAAUCAUUAUUAAUUAGGGAAUUGGUUCUUUCUCCAUAUAAAAUCAUUAUUAAUUAAAACUAAAAAUUAAAAUUUUAAAAAUAAAAUAUUUACUCAUAUUGUAUUUUCAAUUGUUUCUCGAUAUUUCUAUUUUCUAUCAGAGUAUUUUAAUUAAGUAAAAGUUAAUAUUUCAUUUUUAUAUUUUUAGCUUUUGAAGUUUUUUUAGUUUUAAUUUUUUAAUUUUCUUAUUUUAUUAAUCUAAAAUCACUUAUCAUGUUACAAAAAUUUGUUAAUUGGUGUUAUUAACAUGUAAAAGGAUCAUUUUAGGAAAUAAUUAUAUGAAUUAUGGAAAAGUGUAUGUAUUUUAAAAUAUUUUUAAAUAGGUAAAGAUAAAUAUGAUUUAUAAAAUUUUUAAAUUCUUUUUUUCUUUUAUAUUUUUACGAAAUAGUAAGUCAAAACCCAUUUUUCCUUAAAUUAAUUACAUAAAAUAUUUUUUCUUCGAGAAUUUGUUUUAAAAAUAUAUUAAUUUAAAAAUAAUGUAAAAGAAUAAAAAAAAUAUAUUGCAAAUUUUUAUAUCAUACAUAAAUGUACACUAAUCUUAUGGAGAAUAAACUAAAAAAAUAAAUUGUUUUUCUCGAUCAAAAUUUUGUUCCUAAGAAUAAUUGAAAAGUAUAUUUAAAAAUUGUUAUCUAAAAUAUUGUCCAUUGCAUUCUAAAAAAGUUUUUGAAAAAACAAAAACAUGUAAAAAUUUUAGAAAUUAUUUCUUAAAAUAUGACUAUGGACCCCGCAUUUUCUCUCAAUGCGUUCCCACUCGAUGGCGAAACUUGCUUUUUAUUUAUUUUGAGAAAAUUUGAUUUUUUUUGAAAAAAAAAAAAAGACAUGGAGUCGCCACUUUUGUUUUUAAGGGAAAAACAAAAUAAUAAAGAAAAACCCUAAGUGUGACUUCUAAAAAAAACAGGUUUGUGAAAAACCAACUCUGGGUUUGGGGUCAGGUUACUUAUUGGAAAGGUACGGUGGUGAGCCGUAACACCCCUCUAAGCUCGUAUACAUACGGUCUCUACUAAACGAAUUAAGGGAAUUGUGACAAUUAAUUAAUUAAUUAUGGAUACUAAGAAAAAUAAUCAUGUAAAUGAGUAUGUACAAGUCAUGAUGAAAAUUAAUAUACACAAAUAAUGAUGAAAUCUAAUUACAAGAAUACACAAAAUAAAUGACAAGAGGAUUAUGCAAAAUGAUUUAUUGAACUAAAUAAAAAGAAGAUAUUUUUUUAAAAAAAAGUUUUCAAGAAAUUUCAAAGGAUUUUAUAAAAAAAUGAUUUCAAUUUAUUUAUUUACAAAAAAAAAAUCAAUUUAUUUUAUCAAUUUCAUUGGUAUUCAAUUUUCAAAAAAUUACACUUAUUGUAUCAAAAGAAUUUAUUACUAAAUUUCAAUUUGCAUACAAAAAUUAUUUUUUUGCCUUUACUAGAAAAUAAUGAAUUUUUACAAUUUUAUUUAUAAAAGUAUUUCAAUUUGUUUUCAUUUAAGAAAAGUGAUUUGUACAAAUUAUUUAAAAUAAUAAUAAUGAUACUAAUUUUAUUUGCAAAAAAAAAAAUUAAUUAAAAAGAAGAAAAAGAAAAAGAAAAAUUAAAUUCUUUAUUUUUAAAAAAAUGACUUUUAAUCCAAUUUUAAUUAAAAAAAAGAAUUUAUUUAAAAAAACAUUUUUUGGACUAUUUUUAUUAAACAAAUAAAUUUUUGGACAAUUAUUAUUAAAAACAAUUUUUCAAAUUCUAUUAAAAACAAUUUUAUGGAUUUUUCUAAAAUAAUUUUUCUGAAUUUUUAUAAAUAAAAAAAAACUUUCUUUUUAUUAAAAAAAAAUUAAAAUUAUUAUUUUAUUGAAACAUAUUUACUAAAUUCUUCCUCUCAUUUAAACAAAAUUUUAGGUUUGUUCGAUGUUCAACUUUGUACACACUUAAUAAAUAUAUACAAACAAAUAUUUACAAAAACUAAUAAAAAUAAAACCAAAUAAAAGUGAGAAAUAAAAUAUGUAUCCAAAUAAACUUACAAUAAGUCCAAUGUCUUCUUACAGUUUUUUCAAUCUCACUUUCCAUGAAAUUCCAUGCUCCAUAUGUCAUAAAUUUGUACUCAACCAAUAGAAUUGUAGAAUAUACUCAUGCAAAAACAAAAAUAACACAAAUGUAAAUAUCCAAAAAUAUAUAAAGUUCAAAAUAAUUAUUCAAGCCCAAAUUCAAACCUCAAAUUAGUCUAAUAAAUUUCAUCAAUUAAACAAAAAUAACCCAACAAAAAUAUUUCACAUAUCGUCUACCCUAAUCUAAAAUUCCCAAAUUAAUAGUCAAAAUAUAAGCUCAAUUAAUCAAACUCAAAACAUGAUAAAUUAAAAUAAAUCUCAUUAUGCCUAAAUUUAAUAUUCCAUAAUCCAAGCUUAAUUUAAUAUACAAAAUAAUUAUCCUAUGUCCAAAUUAAGUAAGUCAAAUGGGUCAAGCUCAUAUCAAAUAUUCAAAUCAUCCAACAAAUCUCACCCACAUUGUGGGCCCAAAAUCCAUAUCAAUUAACAAACCGACAUCAAUAAUAUACAUGGCCAAAAGAAAUAACAUCUCAAACUCAAUCCAAUAAGGUCAAACACAUAACCAAUUAACAAUAGGCUCAAGUCCAAACAAACAAUAUGCUAUUGAUACAAUUCAUAUAUCUCAAAUUAAUCACCAAAUGCAAUAUAACAACAAAUCCAAAUUAACCAAUUUCCAAUUAACCCACCAAUAAUAAAUUAACUCAAAUUUCAUAUUAAUUCUCCAAUAACAAAUUAACUCAAAUUUCAUACUAAUUAACAAAACUCAAACAUAAGAUCCACAAACAAACAUAAAUGCACAAGCCCAAUUUCAAUAAUAAUUCCUAUUAAAAUCAAAUAAAGAAAAAUGAAGAAAAAAAUAGUAAUAGUAAUAAUAAUAAUAAUAACCGAUUGUCGGAAAAAAUGGGUGGAAGGGAAGGUGAUCCCCGACUGUUGGAAAUGGCAUUGUCGAUGGCAGCUCGCCGACGACGACUAACCGGCCAUGGAUAUGGAAAUGGGUUUCACAGGAAAUUAAAAAAAAUGAAAAAAUAAAUAAAUUAAAGGAAGGAAAAAUGAGGGGGCGUGUGGCAGUGUGCGGAAAAAGAAGAUGAAAAAAAAAAUGGAGAAUUACCCAAAAGGGUGGGUUAGAAAAAAUAAUGACUAUGAAGGCUCCCUCUUUUAGAAGACAAUUUUAUUCUUGAAUAUGUUUUUUAUAUUAUUUAUAAAUAAAUUGAGAUUGUCAAUGAUGUAAGGCUCAUACAUGAUGAUAAGUACAGGUUGAUAAACAAUCAACGGUACAUUUUUCAACUUGAAAAAAUUGUUGUCACUUUUGAACAAUUAACUGUUUAAAAAUUUGCUAUUUUAAAAAAAAAAUUGAGAUUUUUUAAAGAACCUUGUAAAAAAAAUAAUUUUUAAUAUCUCAUAAAUAAAAACCAUAUCCUAAAGUUAUUAUAUCGUUUUAUAUAUAAAACAUACAAUUAAAAACUUUGUUAUCACAAUAUAAUAAAUAAUUAUUUUUUACGAGCACUCAUCAAUUGAAUAAUAUAUAAAUAUUCAAUUGACUAACACACACCUAUUAAAUGGAAUAACUCACAAUUAUUCAUUGGGUAAUAUAGCAUGUGAAAAAAUUAAAUAAAAAUAAAUUAAAUUAUGUUGUAAAAUAUUGUAAUGAUAGUGUAUUUAUAUUGUAAGUAUAAUGCAUUUAUGUCGUACCUAUAUUUCAUUAUAAAAGUAAUAAUUCUAAAAAUGUUUAUUCAUACCCUAAUGGUAUUAACACAUCGUAUUAAUAUAUUAACAACAUUUAUUUAGUGUUUUGAAAUUAUUUAAUAAUUUUUGUAUAUAUAUAUAUAUAUAUAAACUACGUGAAUUCAAAUUAGUAUUUCAUUUUAUUUCAGAAAUUAUUUAUGAUAUAGGUAUGUUGUGAAAUAUGGUAUGAUCAUACAAAAUUACCAUUUUUAUAAAAAAAUUCAUAAAUUUCUUAAUUAGGUUUUAUUGUAAUGUAUUGUAAUAUAAGUGUAUUUAUAUUGUAAUUAUAACAUAUUUUUGUUAUGCCUGUGUUUUAUAAUAAAAGUAAUAAUAUUAAGGAUCACCUUUUAUACCUUAUUAAUAUUCAACAUAUCAAAUAUAUUAACAUCAUCCACUCGAUACAUUGAGAAAAAAAUUUAUAUGAAAAUUAAAAAAAAAACACACUAUGCAAAGGAAAAAAAAUCAUAUAAAUUUUUUUUAAUUAUUUUAUUAUAAAAAUAAAAAAUAAUUAAACAUUCUCUAUCAUUUUCUUAUUCUUUUUAGAGAAUAUGAAUGAAAAAUUAAACAUUUUAUCUUCCUUAAAUUUAAUACAAAAACAUAAUUUAUCAAUUUAAAAUUAUAAUAUAUAUAUAUAUAUAUAUAUAUAUGAAAAAAUCAUCAUUUUUAUUAUAUAAUUAUAAAACUUAUUUUUUUCUUCAUAAAAUUAAAAAUUAGAAUAAAAAUAAAAAAGGUAAAAAAACAAUAAAUGAUAUUUUGAAAAUAUUUUUUAAAAGUAUUUUUGUUUUAAAUAGUAAAUUUAAAUAACAAAUUAUAUAUAAUUGUAAGGGUUAAACCCAAAAUUUUAAUUUAAAAUUUAAAUAUUAAUAAUUACAAUAAAUGUGGGACCCAUGUAUCAUAAAUAUAUUGACAAAUCAAGUGAAGUGUUUUAAAUGCUUUAAAUUUUAAAAGUUUUAGUUAAAAGGCAGUUUUAGUAUAUUAAGCCUAUUAAAGUCCUCCCCAAGAAUUAUUAAAAGAUAUCACUCUUUCUAGUAAUUGUUUUGCCCAGUCCACCCUUUUGGGUAAUUCUCCUCAAAAAAAAUGGAGAAGGAAAAAAAUCUAGGCCGACGCGUGGGAGAUAGGAAAAGGAAGAAAAUAACAAUGGAAUAAAGAAGCUGGGGAGAUGGGCAGCCGAGGGAGAGAAGAGUGGUCUCGUCUGGUUUUUUUGGAGGAAGAAGAUGAAGGAGAACAAGGAAAAAACCAAAUGGGUAAGAAGAAAAGAAAUAAAAUGAAAUAAAAAAAUGGUAGAAGAAAGGUGAGGGGAGCAUGUGGUGACGUGGGGGUAUGGGUAUGGAAGGAGAGAGAAAGAGUGGGUGGGUGAGGGCAAGUAGAAAGCAGAGAAAUAAAAUGAAAUAAAAAAAAUGGUAUAAGAAAGGUGUGGGGAGCAUGCGGUGACGUGGAGAUAUGGGAGGAGAGAGAAAGAGUGGGUGGGUGAGGGCAAGUAGGAAGAAAGAGAAAUAAAAUGAAAUAAAAAAAAAAUGGUAUAAGAAAGGUGUGGGGAGCAUGUGGUGACUUGGGGAUAUGGGGAGGUAUGGGAGGAGAGAAAAAGAGUGAGUGGGUGGGAACAGGUGGAGAAGAAAAAGGAAAAGAGGAAAAAUAAAAUAAUAAAAUAAAAAAUAAAAAAUAAUAUAAUAUAAUAAUAAUAAUAAUAAUAAAUAAAAUGAAUAAAUAAAAAUAAAAAAAUAAAUAAUUUACGAAAUAAUGAAAACUAAAAAUUAAAAGAUGAAAGGAUGUAAAAUAAUAUAUAUAAUUGAGAUUUAAAAUUAGACUCAAAAUUAAUAUAAAAUUAAAAUUUAGACAAAUUUUGGGAUCUAUAAUGAUAUUUAAAAAAUUAGUUUUAAAUUUACAACAAUUUGUGAAGUAUCAAACAAGAGAUUAUUUUUGGAAUAAAUAACUUAUUAAAUUUACAUUAACUUUUUUUUUUAAUAUUACUUAAAUAAAAUGUAGCUAAAAUUGUUUAUUCAAGAGAGAGCAAACCUAAGUGCUAUCUAUUUAUCUAUUAGUUGCUUUUCAACCACUAAACAAAUUAAUAAAAAUUUCAACACAAGAAGCAUUGGAUUUGAUGUAUCACUUGUUCUUGGAUAGCAUAAUUGGAUGAUUCAAAAAUCAUGGUCUUGGAUUGAAAAAUAUUUUUGUCAAAAAGAAAAUCCAAUCUUUUCCAAAUGAAUUGAGAAAUUGGAAAAAAAAAUGAUCUUAUUAAAAAAUUUAAAGUUAUUCUUGAAAAAAAAAAAUUAAAGUUUCCUUUUACUCGUACACAAAAGCAGUAAAAAUAUGAAAAUGUGAUAUACCUUUAUUUCCAAGACAAAUAAAGUUGAAGUCAACAAAUCAAGUGGAUUUGGUUAAUACCAAUUCACUUUCAAGGACCCGAGUGAACUCGUCUAAAUAUUUGUUUUGCAACUGCACAUUCCCAAAUAUUUCCUUCAUUGCCCAUGCAUUUCUCUUGAGUUGUUCUCCUUCUUCUUCCACCAUAACUCGUCUUAUUGACUCACUUACCGAGUCACUUGUAAAUGAUCCAUCUUGCUCGUUCCUCGGUAUUUCCAACCCGACCUGCUUACCUACUAGGAGUCUUGCCAUCAAACCUUGAUCCGAACAAGCCCCAGGGAAAAGAAUCAACACACGACCCGACCCAAGAGCCUCGGUCACAGAACUCCAUCCACAGUGGGUUAAGAAACCACCGAUUGAUGGAUGGGCCAUGAUCCGCUUUUGUGGAGCCCAACCGACCCAAACUAAACCACGACCAGAAACCCGAGCUUCGAAACCUGUUAUAAUCAGAACUCCUUCAUCUCGUCCUGACUCAGAGUCAACUCAGUACCGAGUGCAACGUAAAGGACGGAGUUUUCGGUUUUCUUGUCCAGCCAUUGUUUUAACAAGUCCCAGCUCUCGUCCCUCUCGCCGUCAUUGGCCUCCGCCGGAAGCAACCCCACAGGAAUGACCGGCUUCCGGUAGAGCUUUUGAAGGAGACUGAGUGAGUCAGACUCAAACUCAGGACAGCUCCUGAUAGCCACGAAUCGGCAGCCUUCAAUCACCUUUGCGAAACGGAAGAAAUCGGAAGCAUCCGAGUCCAUGCAUUCCUAGUGGUAAAUAACCUCGUAUAGCCUGAAAGCGACGUUGGACGGAAACGGGAUCCACUCAGGUACCACAGUUAAGUCCUCCAACGGCUGUUGAUCGCGGAGGAGAAUCUCCUCCGGCGAGCCAAGGAAAGCGAGUACGCUGGCAUUGAAUAUGCUGAAGAAGACUGAGUUGAUACCGAGUCGAGUGGCUACUUGGGGCAACCAGUGGGGAACAAAGUCAUGGAUGAGCCAGUUGACAUCGGAGUUCUGUAGAAACUCAGUGAGAGGAGGUUGGAGCUGAUCGUACGCUCGUUUCAGAUACGGGACUAGGCGGAAGGGCAACUCGGAGGUGGACUCGACGGAGUCGGGCAAGCCAUGGACGGGAGGCAGAGGCAGUGGCACCAUGGUUACAAGCGAGGAUAAAUUUGGAGCAAUUUGAGAGAGGCGAUGGAGGUUUUUAGGGGUGGAGAUGAAUGAAAUACGGUGACCCAGUUGAGCUAAGUGGUUGGAGAGACGAAGAAAAGGCAGGAAGUGGCCAAAGGCCAGCCAUGGAAACACAGC
rnacentral:lncRNA from 1 species